AGAGGUCUGUGUCCUGACACACAGAAACGGAGAGUGAAGAGGUUUUGAGCAGUGCUGCUGGGAAUCAUUGCUGAUCCAUGCAUGCUGAUCAAUAAAUGCACAGAAGCAUUGCUGCCAAGUGCUGUCUGGAGGGGCAAAUUCAGAGUUGGAGAAUGAGUAUGGCAGAGAGAUCCAUGUUCACACAACUCAAAUCUCACAAACCUCUAAAAGCAGCAGACACUGUUUGAAUGCCGAAGAAUGAAAAGGGAGGAAACAGAUACCAAUGAAGAAUAAUGGAUACAUUGUCGUCAUUUUUUUAAGG